UCUCAAAAAUUUCUCACGCUCAAAAAAGGAAUAGAACUCAAAAGUAGCCCUAACUCAAAAGGGCAGAAAUCUCACGCUCAAGAGAUCAAUUUCUAAUCUCAAAAUCCAACUGGAAAUUCUCUCUUCAAAAUAGCCCUAAGCCAGAGCACAAAAUCGACGAAUCCAAGUGACGAUUUUCACCCAAAUGGCAAUUUUCACCAUGCUGCGCUGAAGAACAUCAAAACUCAAGUCAUUCUUGCUGGUCAAACAUCUUGCCUUAAGGCACAUAUACCAACUAUCUAAAUCAUCAAGAAGAAAGCUCAAUUAUGUCUGAAAAAAGAAUCGAAUAAAAGAUGGAUGGAUGGCUGAUCAGAAUGCAACAGCAAGGACAAGAUUCUUUAAGAACGAGGAAGUGAAGUUGCUCAAGGAGUAGUUUGAAGAUAUUUUUAUGAUCUUUUUGUUUAUCGUAGAAGACAUUGGAGUAUGUCUUGAAGACUGUUUCUUUUUUGUUUGUGUCGUGAAAUGGCAAUGUAUAUACAUUGACUACUCUUGGCUGUGUAGACUUUUUAACAUUAAAAAGUCUAUAAUUCUAUUUUGAGAAUUAUUAUCGGAUUGUACAAA